rnacentral:rRNA from 1 species
GAGGAAUAUUGGUCAAUGGGCGAGAGCCUGAACCAGCCAAGUAGCGUGCAGGAUGACGGCCCUAUGGGUUGUAAACUGCUUUUGUAUGGGGAUAAAGUCAAUCACGUGUGAUUGUUUGCAGGUACCAUACGAAUAAGGACCGGCUAAUUCCGUGCCAGCAGCCGCGGUAAUACGGAAGGUCCGGGCGUUAUCCGGAUUUAUUGGGUUUAAAGGGAGCGUAGGCUGGAGAUUAAGUGUGUUGUGAAAUGUAGACGCUCAACGUCUGACUUGCAGCGCAUACUGGUUUCCUUGAGUACGCACAACGUUGGCGGAAUUCGUCGUGUAGCGGUGAAAUGCUUAGAUAUGACGAAGAACUCCGAUUGCGAAGGCAGCUGACGGGAGCGCAACUGACGCUGAAGCUCGAAGGUGCGGGUAUCGAACAGGAUUAGAUACCCUGGUAGUCCGCACAGUAAACGAUGGAUGCCCGUUGUUGGUACUUGGUAUCAGCGGCUAAGCGAAAGCAUUAAGCAUCCCACCUGGGGAGUACGCCGGCAACGGUG